rnacentral:rRNA from 1 species
AUGAAGCUGGAAUUGCUAGUAAUGGCAGGUCAGCAUACUGCCGUGAAUACGUUCCCGGGCCUUGUACACACCGCCCGUCACACCAUGAGAGUUGGGAAUACCCGAAGCCUGUGAGCUAACGUUAAGAGGCAGCAGUCGAAGGUAGAAUCAAUGAUUGGGGUGAAGUCGUAACAAGGUAAC